rnacentral:lncRNA from 1 species
ACAUUUCAGAUACAGCCUGCUCAUGGCAGGAGGAGAUCACGAGGAGUUCACGUUCUCGGUCAACAGUACCAGUGGUUGAGGUUCUGAGAGAGUCUUCGUCCUGCUAUUCUCAGAGGCAGUUCCAACCAAACUCUGCUUUGGACUGGUGAUCUAUGGAGCUUGGGAUGAUUGAGUAUUCUUCCCAGAUAGAAGGAGAUGAGCCAAGAGGGUAGGGCUAGCCAUGUCUACGACUGGACUUUAGGAAGCAAAGGAUACAGUGAUUGGGGGACCUCCUGUGAAAAAGUCUUGGGGAAUGGAAGUUCUGACUCCAGCAUAACAGCUGAAGCUGGGGAUUGGCCUGACCCAGCUCCACUGGGAAAAGGGUUCCAGGAUGUUUCUCAUCUGUCAAAUGUGCAGAUUGCACUAUACAGGCUUGCAAACCAGAAUACCUACAAGAG